UUUUAAUUUUAAGUCUAGGGGACAAAACUGGCGAGAUUCAUAUAUGGAACUGAUAAGGAGCAUUAUUCAGUGGAUGUCAUUGACUGGAUUGACGAUUCCUCAAUUUCAUGACAACUUUGAAAGAAGAUAUAUGAUCGAGAUGGCGGUUCACAUAGUGCAAAGUGCUGACUUUCAGAAACGAUGAGACAUGUA